UGCAGUGCUAAGAUGUCUCAAAACUGAGUCUGCCAAGAACCAGACACCCAAAAUAUAAUACCAAAUUAUGGUCCACUAAAUAUAAUAUUAAAGAACAUGAACCUAUUCGGAGUAAAUUUAGGCAAACCUCUUUAUGGAGCAACAUAAACAUGGUUUUUGCCUGUAUCUAAGAAUGACAGGAGAACUAUAUAAUAUGCCAUGGUCUUUCCCAUUCCAAUAUUUAACUGUAUGAUCAGAAUGUUGUAUUCUCAGCAAAACUAAACCAAAAUGAUAUCAGCUUUUCCCCAAAAUCAGUUUAUUCUCCUGCCUAAAGUGUAAUUUUUCAUCCUAGAGUGAUCCAGUAGUGCAAUUUCAGGAAGCAAGUUUUGCGUGAAGGAGCCUGCACUUCACUGUCGGACAGUUACAAGAGAUGACAGUUUGUAAUCCCAUGGACACAGUGAAGGAUGUUCACAUAUCAGAAAAUCUAGAGAGAAAGGCAUCCAGGGCCCUGCACAGGAUGAGAAGUCAGCCACAAAUUCAUAAACUAUAACAAGCAUUUUGACCUUGAAGUCACAACAUUUUCAAGGUUCCAUUAUUUUAUGUGUAAAAAUGGAGCUACUCAGGACACAGGCAUGAACUAACAAGACAAUUCAUGGAUUUUAGGGGUACAAUCCACAGUGUAGAAGGAGAUGCUCUCCCAUGUUAUGCACUGAUCGUACAAUUUCAAUGUUAAGAACAUAAUUCAUAUGUUCUUAGUAUGAAUUAUAAGAUAUAACUAAAUUAUAAGAAAUAACUAAAAACUGAUGGAAUGAGACACUCCCUCCUGACUUCCACAAAGUUCAGCUAGCUGAGCAUAACCAAUAACAGAAGAAGCUGGGUGACUGCACGGCUGUGACUUUCUACCAGCCUCUCAAUUCAGUGACCAACAUUCUCCCCAGAGGUUGACUCCAAGAUAAACAUAAUCAACAAGCACCUACUGGUCAGGGCUGGAGUUAAAGUGGUAUAAACAACAGCCCUGCCAUCAAGGAGCUCCCAUUUUAAUUGGACUGGCAAAAAUAAGAAGUAAUUUGCCUGCUCGUUCCCUGCAUGGCUGAAGAGUUACAUCAUGUACAGAUGUUCACGAAGACUCCAACGGAAACAUCAGCUCUUCUUGGGUUUCAAGUUUGCUGGCUUUCAGAAUGGAACUUAUACCACUGGCUCUCCUGAUUCCCAGGCCUUUGGACUCAGACAGGAGUCACACCAUCAACUCUCCCAGGUCUCCAGCCUGUCAACUGCAGAAGGAAGGCUACUCUAGACCCAGUACCUAUUAUAAUGACCAGUAGAUAACAGACAGCCAGUCAAUGGGGAUUAAAAAAGCAAGAAAUAAAUAAAUGUCAUACAGCCGGUCAAGUAGACAGACACAGGCUUUGAUCCAGCUAGCUCUCUACCAUCAAGCCUCCUUACAAGUCACACAUUCUUUAUAUACCUUGGGAUGUCUCAGCCUCCAUAAUCAUUUCUUAUAAUAAAUCAUAUAUAUCUCCCACUGGUUCUGUUUUUCUAAAACCCUGACUAAUACAACACUAAAGACCUUAAGACUCCUGGAUAAUUUUUUUAAUAUGUUUUUGGUUUUAUUUCAUGUACUUUUAUUCUAGGAAAACAUAAAAUUUACUAUCUUAGUCAUUUUAAGUGUACAAUUCAGUUGUGUUAAGUACAUUCACAUUGUUGUGACAUAGAUCUUCAAAACUUUUUCAUCUUGCAAAAUCGAAACUCCAUACCUAGUAAUCAACAACACCAUUUUCCCCUCUUUCUCUAGUCCCUGGUAAUCACUCUCUACUUUCUGUCCCAUUAAUUUAACAACUUUGGAUACUUCAUAUAAGUGGAAUCAUACAGCAUUUGUCUUAUUCUGACUGGCUUAUUUCACUUAGCAUAAUGUCCUCAAGUUUCAUCCAUGUUGUCACAUGUGACAGGAAGUACUUCCUUUUUAAGGCUGAAUGAUAUUUCAUUGCAUAUAUAUAUCACAUUUUUGUCAUUUCAUCCAUGAAUGGACAUUUGAGUUGUUUUCAUGUCUUGGCUGUUUUAUGUAGUAUUGCUAUGAAAAAGGGUGUGCAAAUAUCUCUUUAAAUCUCUGCUUUCAAUCAUUUUAGGUCUAUACCCAAAAACAAAAUUGCUGGAUAAUAUGUUAGUUUUAUUUUUAAUUUUUGGAGGAACCUCCAUACUAUUUUCCGUAGCUGCUGCACCAUUUUAUAGCACUACUAACAGUGCACAAGGGUUUGGAAUUCUCCACAUUCUUGCCAACAUUUAUUUUCUGUUUGUUUUGAUAGUGGCCAUCCUAAUGUAUAUGAGGUAAUAUCUCAUAGUUUUGAUUUUCAUUCCUAUGACGAUUAGUGAUGUUAAGCAUUUUUUUCAUAUGCUCAUUGGCCAUUUGUAUAUCAUCUUUAGAAAAAUGCCUAUUCAGGUUCUUUGCCCAUUUUUAAUUGAGUUAUUUGAUCUUUUGUUGUUGUUGAGUUGUAAGAAUUCUCCAUGUAUUUUGGAUAUUAAACCCUUAUCAGAUAUAUAAUUUGUUCUGGUUUUUAAAAUAAUAACUUUAUUGUUUCUGGAUGUCUUUCUCAUACUAGUUUGGUAGCUCCACGAAGUCUAAGUCUGUUUCUUCUCUGCUCUACACCCAGCACCUAUUAUAAUAACCAGUAGAUAGUAGAUGGCCAGUCAAUGGGGAU
rnacentral:lncRNA from 10 species